AAUGGGAAGCAAGGCUGUAAGGCGGAGCGAAUCCGGAAAGAUUGCCUCAGUUCGGAUUGUUCUCUGCAACUCGGGAACAUGAAGUUGAAAUCGCUAGUAAUCGCGGAUCAGCAUGCCGCGGUGAAUAUGUACCCGGGCCCUGUACACACCGCCCGUCACACCCUGGCAAUUGGUUUCGCCCGAAGCAUCGGACCAAUGAUCACCCAUGACUUCUGUGUACCACUAGUGCCACAAAGGCCUUUGGUGGUCUUAUUGGCGCAUACCACGGUGGGGUCUUCGACUGG
rnacentral:ncRNA from 1 species